UCCAGACUUGCAUUCAGAACAAAUGAAUUCUAGAUCUCAGUUUGGAUUUUAUUAUAGAACCUUUAUCUUUCUCUCCCAGCUCUCUUAAUCCUAGUUGGUACUCCUACAGGUGCAUGCCAUUGAUCUUAAGGCUAGCUGUGCAAGAGAAUGCGAAUGGUUUGAUAGAGUUCUUUCCCAUUGUUCAAUUUUAACAUGGAAAAGGCAGCUCUUACUCUCAUAAUUGGCAACCUCUGUUUACUUAAGCAUGUUAUAUUAGUAUAUAUUGCCUUAUUUUGAAUAGUGUUGCUGAAGGACCAUUUAUUACUGGAGAAAACAUUGAUACUUCCAGUGACCUUAUGCUGGCUCAGAUGCUACAGAUGGAAUUUGACAGAGAAUAUGACGCACAGCUUAGGCGUGAAGAAAAAAAAUUCAAUGGAGAUAGCAAAGUUUCCAUUUCCUUUGAAAAUUAUCGAAAAGUGCAUCCUUAUGAAGACAGCGAUAGCUCUGAAGAUGAGGUUGACUGGCAGGAUACUCGUGAUGAUCCCUACAGACCAGCAAAACCGGUUCCUACUCCUAAAAAGGGCUUUAUUGGAAAAGGAAAAGAUAUCACCACCAAACAUGAUGAAGUAGUAUGUGGGAGAAAGAAUACAGCAAGAAUGGAAAAUUUUGCACCUGAGUUUCAGGUAGGGGAUGGAAUUGGAAUGGAUUUAAAACUAUCAAACCAUGUUUUCAAUGCUUUAAAACAACAUGCCUACUCAGAAGAACGUCGAAGUGCCCGCCUACAUGAAAAAAAGGAGCAUUCAACAGCAGUAAGGAUUUAUAGAUUUUUUUUUUCUUUUUUACUAGGAAGAUUCAUAUUUGAAAACUUGGGGGAAGAAAAAAACUUCAUGUUUGAUAUUUUUUAUGAGAUUGGCUUUUCAAAUUAAAGAUGUAAAUAGGGCCGGGCGCGGUGGCUCACGCCUGUAAUCCCAACAUUUUGGGAGGCCAAGGCGGGUGGAUCACAAGGUCAAGAGAUCAAGACCAUCCUGGUCAACAUGGUGAAACCCCAUCUAUACUAAAAAUACAAAAAAUUAGCUGGACACGGUGGCGCGUGCCUGUAAUCCCAGCUACUCAGGAGGCUGAGGCAGGAGAAUUGCCUGAACCCAGGAGGCGGAGGUUGCGAUGAGCCGAAAUCGCGCCAUUGCACUCCAGCCUGGGUAUCAAGAGCGAAACUCCGUCUCAAAAAAAAGAAAGAUGUAAAUAAAGCCAGGCACUGUGGCACCCACCUGUAAUCCCACUACUUUGGGAGACAGAGACAGGAGGAUUACUUGAGCCAAGGAGUGCGAGAAUAGCUCAGGCAAUAUAAUGACCCCCAGCUCUACGAAAAAAAUUAGCUGGGCAUUGUGGCACACACCUGUGGUCCCAAUUACUUGGGAGGCUGAGGUGGGAGGAUCGCUCGAGCCCGAGAAGUCAAGGCUGCAGUGAACCAUGUUUGUACCACUGUACUGUAGACUGGGUGACAGAGGAAGACCCUGACUCAAAAAAAAAAAAAAGAGAGAUGUAAAUAAGCCAGGUGAUGUGGCUCCUAGCACUUUGGGAGGCCAAGGUGGAAGGAUUGCUUGAGCCCAGGAGUUCGAGGCCAGCCUGGGCAACAUUGGGAAACCCUGGGAGACCCUGUCUCUGCAAAAAAAGUAAAAAUUAGCUGGGCAUCCAGCAUGGUGGUAUGCAACUGUAGUCCCAGCUACUCGGGAGGCUGAGGUGGGAGGAUCACUUGAACUUGAGUCCAGGAAUUCGAUGCUGCAGUGAGCUAUAAUCAUGUCACUGCAUUCCAUCCUGGACAACAGAGUGAGACCCUGUCUCUCUCUCUAAAAAAAAGAUAUUAGGCUGGGCUUGGUGGCUCACGCCUAUAAUCCCAGCACUUUAGGAGACUGAGGCGGGUGGAUCAAGAGAUCAGGAGUUCAAGACCAGCCUGGCCAACAUGGUAAAAUCCCGUCUCUACUAAAAAUACAAAAAUUAGCCAGGCAUGGUGGCAGGCACCUAUAAUACCAGCUACUCGGGAGGCUGAGGCAGGAGAAUUGCUUGAACCCAGGAGGUGGAGGUUGCAGUGAGCUAAAAUUGUGCCAUUGCACUCCAGCCUGGGCAACAAGAGGAAGACUCUGUCUCAAAAAAAAAAAUAUUUGAAGUAGCUCAGAAUAUGUUUUGUAAUUAGCAGUUAUUUUCACUUACAGUGCUUUAUCUCUUGCAGGAAAAAGCAGUUGAUCCUAAGACACGUUUACUUAUGUAUAAAAUGGUGAACUCUGGAAUGCUGGAGACAAUCACUGGCUGUAUUAGUACAGGAAAGGAAUCUGUUGUCUUUCAUGCAUAUGGAGGGAGGUAAAUGAGCAAAAUAUGAUACCAUCAUAUGAAAAAAAGCUUAGUCUCUUCUCAAGAU
rnacentral:lncRNA from 1 species